rnacentral:rRNA from 1 species
UACGGAGGGUGCAAGCGUUAUCCGGAUUCACUGGGUUUAAAGGGUGCGUAGGUGGGCAGGUAAGUCAGUGGUGAAAUCUCCGGGCUUAACCCGGAAACUGCCAUUGAUACUAUCUGUCUUGAAUAUCCUGGAGGUGAGCGGAAUAUGUCAUGUAGCGGUGAAAUGCUUAGAUAUGACAUAGAACACCAAUUGCGCAGGCAGCUUACUACACAGUAAUUGACACUGAGGCACGAAAGCGUGGGGAUCAAACAGG